CGAUUCCCUUAGUAGCGGCGAGCGAAACGGGAAGAGCCCAAACCAACAAGCUUGCUUGUUGGGGUUGUAGGACACUCUAUACGGAGUUACAAAGGACGACAUUAGACGAAUCAUCUGGAAAGAUGAAUCAAAGAAGGUAAUAAUCCUGUAGUCGAAAAUGUUGUCUCUCUUGAGUGGAUCCUGAGUACGACGGAACACGUGAAAUUCCGUCGGAAUCUGGGAGGACCAUCUCCUAAGGCUAAAUACUCUCUAGUGACCGAUAGUGAACCAGUACCGUGAGGGAAAGGUGAAAAGCACCCCGGAAGGGGAGUGAAAUAGAACCUGAAACCGUGUGCUUACAAGUAGUCAGAGCCCGUUAAUGGGUGAUGGCGUGCCUUUUGUAGAAUGAACCGGCGAGUUACGAUUUGAUGCAAGGUUAAGCAGUAAAUGUGGAGCCGUAGCGAAAGCGAGUCUGAAUAGGGCGUUUAGUAUUUGGUCGUAGACCCGAAACCAGGUGAUCUACCCUUGGUCAGGUUGAAGUUCAGGUAACACUGAAUGGAGGACCGAACCGACUUACGUUGAAAAGUGAGCGGAUGAACUGAGGGUAGCGGAGAAAUUCCAAUCGAACCUGGAGAUAGCUGGUUCUCUCCGAAAUAGCUUUAGGGCUAGCCUCAAGUGAUGAUUAUUGGAGGUAGAGCACUGUUUGGACGAGGGGCCCCUCUCGGGUUACCGAAUUCAGACAAACUCCGAAUGCCAAUUAAUUUAACUUGGGAGUCAGAACAUGGGUGAUAAGGUCCGUGUUCGAAAGGGAAACAGCCCAGACCACCAGCUAAGGUCCCAAAAUAUAUGUUAAGUGGAAAAGGAUGUGGCGUUGCCCAGACAACUAGGAUGUUGGCUUAGAAGCAGCCAUCAUUUAAAGAGUGCGUAAUAGCUCACUAGUCGAGUGACACUGCGCCGAAAAUGUACCGGGGCUAAACAUAUUACCGAAGCUGUGGAUUGUCCUUUGGACAAUGGUAGGAGAGCGUUCUAAGGGCGUUGAAGCAUGAUCGUAAGGACAUGUGGAGCGCUUAGAAGUGAGAAUGCCGGUGUGAGUAGCGAAAGACGGGUGAGAAUCCCGUCCACCGAUUGACUAAGGUUUCCAGAGGAAGGCUCGUCCGCUCUGGGUUAGUCGGGUCCUAAGCUGAGGCCGACAGGCGUAGGCGAUGGAUAACAGGUUGAUAUUCCUGUACCACCUAUAAUCGUUUUAAUCGAUGGGGGGACGCAGUAGGAUAGGCGAAGCGUGCGAUUGGAUUGCACGUCUAAGCAGUAAGGCUGAGUAUUAGGCAAAUCCGGUACUCGUUAAGGCUGAGCUGUGAUGGGGAGAAGACAUUGUGUCUUCGAGUCGUUGAUUUCACACUGCCGAGAAAAGCCUCUAGAUAGAAAAUAGGUGCCCGUACCGCAAACCGACACAGGUAGUCAAGAUGAGAAUUCUAAGGUGAGCGAGCGAACUCUCGUUAAGGAACUCGGCAAAAUGACCCCGUAACUUCGGGAGAAGGGGUGCUCUUUAGGGUUAACGCCCAGAAGAGCCGCAGUGAAUAGGCCCAAGCGACUGUUUAUCAAAAACACAGGUCUCUGCUAAACCGUAAGGUGAUGUAUAGGGGCUGACGCCUGCCCGGUGCUGGAAGGUUAAGAGGAGUGGUUAGCUUCUGCGAAGCUACGAAUCGAAGCCCCAGUAAACGGCGGCCGUAACUAUAACGGUCCUAAGGUAGCGAAAUUCCUUGUCGGGUAAGUUCCGACCCGCACGAAAGGCGUAACGAUUUGGGCACUGUCUCAACGAGAGACUCGGUGAAAUCAUAGUACCUGUGAAGAUGCAGGUUACCCGCGACAGGACGGAAAGACCCCGUGGAGCUUUACUGUAGCCUGAUAUUGAAAUUCGGCACAGCUUGUACAGGAUAGGUAGGAGCCUUUGAAACGUGAGCGCUAGCUUACGUGGAGGCGCUGGUGGGAUACUACCCUAGCUGUGUUGGCUUUCUAACCCGCACCACUUAUCGUGGUGGGAGACAGUGUCAGGCGGGCAGUUUGACUGGGGCGGUCGCCUCCUAAAAGGUAACGGAGGCGCUCAAAGGUUCCCUCAGAAUGGUUGGAAAUCAUUCAUAGAGUGUAAAGGCAUAAGGGAGCUUGACUGCGAGACCUACAAGUCGAGCAGGGUCGAAAGACGGACUUAGUGAUCCGGUGGUUCCGCAUGGAAGGGCCAUCGCUCAACGGAUAAAAGCUACCCCGGGGAUAACAGGCUUAUCUCCCCCAAGAGUUCACAUCGACGGGGAGGUUUGGCACCUCGAUGUCGGCUCAUCGCAUCCUGGGGCUGUAGUCGGUCCCAAGGGUUGGGCUGUUCGCCCAUUAAAGCGGUACGCGAGCUGGGUUCAGAACGUCGUGAGACAGUUCGGUCCCUAUCCGUCGUGGGCGUAGGAAAUUUGAGAGGAGCUGUCCUUAGUACGAGAGGACCGGGAUGGACAUACCUCUGGUGUACCAGUUGUCGUGCCAACGGCAUAGCUGGGUAGCUAUGUGUGGACGGGAUAAGUGCUGAAAGCAUCUAAGCAUGAAGCCCCCCUCAAGAUGAGAUUUCCCAACUUCGGUUAUAAGAUCCCUCAAAGAUGAUGAGGUUAAUAGGUUCGAGGUGGAAGCAUGGUGACAUGUGGAGCUGACGAAUACUAAUCGAUCGAAGACUUAAUCAA
rnacentral:rRNA from 1 species